rnacentral:rRNA from 1 species
CCUACGGGAGGCAGCAGUGGGGAAUAUUGCACAAUGGGGGAAACCCUGAUGCAGCGACGCCGCGUGAGUGAAGAAGUAUUUCGGUAUGUAAAGCUCUAUCAGCAGGGAAGAAAAUGACGGUACCUGACUAAGAAGCCUCGGCUAACUACGUGCCAGCAGCCGCGGUAAUACGUAGGGGGCAAGCGUUAUCCGGAUUUACUGGGUGUAAAGGGAGCGGAGACGGUGAUGCAAGUCAGAAGUGAAAGCCCGGGGCUCAACUCCGGGACUGCUUUUGAAACUGUGUAACUUGAGUGCAGGAGAGGUAAGCGGAAUUCCUGGUGUAGCGGUGAAAUGCGUAGAUAUCAGGAGGAACACCAGUGGCGAAGGCGGCUUACUGGACUGUAACUGACGUUGAGGCUCGAAAGCGUGGGGAGCAAACAGGAUUAGAUACCCCUGUAGUC